rnacentral:rRNA from 1 species
AUGUCUAAGUACAUACCUUUAAACGGUGAAACCGCGAAUGGCUCAUUAAAUCAGCUAUGGUUCCUUAGAUCGUACACACUACAUGGAUAACUGUAGUAAUUCUAGAGCUAAUACAUGCCACUAUGCCCUGACCCGCAAGGGAAUGGGUGGAUUUAUUAGAACAGAACCAACCGGGGAUAGCUUCGGCUGUUCCUGUUGUACUCUGUGAUGACUCUGGAUAACUUUACUGAUCGCAGUCGGCCUUGUGUCGGCGACGGAUCUUUCAAAUGUCUGCCCUAUCAAUUUGAUGGUAGGUGAUCUGCCUACCAGGAUAAUAACGGGUAACGGGGAAUCAGGGUUCGAUUCCGGAGAGGGAGCCUGAGAAACGGCUACCACAUCCAAGGAUGGCAGCAGGCGCGAAAAUUACCCACUCCCGGCACGGGGAGGUAGUGACGAAAAAUACGGAUACGGGACUCAAACGAGGCUCCGUAAUUCGAAUGAGUACAAUUUAAAUCCUUUAACGAGGACCAAUUGGAGGGCAAGUCUGGUGCCAGCAGCCGCGGUAACUCCAGCUCCAAAAGCGUAUAUUAAAGUUGCUGCAGUUAAAAAGCUCGUAGUUGGAUCUGGGUUGUGCGUUCACGCGCCUUUACUUGUUUAUCAGACUCGGUAAUACCCGGGCUGGUGUUCGAGUUGGUGUAGUGGGCGUGCUGCCUUUCAGCCGUGUCUGUGUAAACGGGUGCUGACUGGGUUGAUGGGCUUGUCUUGUUAACCUGUUGGCAUGCUUCUAGAUGCCCUUUACCGGGUGUUGGGAGCGGACGGCAUCUUUACUUUGAACAAAUUUGAGUGCUCAAAGCAGGCCUGUGGGCCUGAAAAUUCUUGCAUGGAAUAAUGGAAUAGGACUUCGGUUCUAUUUUGUUGGUUUUCGGAUCCGAAGUAAUGGUUAAGAGGGACAGACGGGGGCAUUUGUAUGGCGGUGUGAGAGGUGAAAUUCUGGGAUC